rnacentral:rRNA from 1 species
GACGAACGCUGGCGGCGUGCUUAACACAUGCAAGUCGAACGGAAAGGCCCCUUCGGGGGUACUCGAGUGGCGAACAGGUGCGUAACACGUGAGUAACCUGCCCUUGACUUCGGGAUAACUUCAGGAAACUGGGGCUAAUACCGGAUAGGAAUCCUUGCUGCAUGGUGGGGGUUGGAAAGCUUCGGCGGUUUUGGAUGGACUCGCGGCUUAUCAGCUUGUUGGUGGGGUAGUGGCUUACCAAGGCUUUGACGGGUAGCCGGCCUGAGGGGGCGACCGGCCACAUUGGGACUGAGAGACGGCCCAGACUCCUACGGGAGGCAGCAGUGGGGAAGAUUGCACAAUGGGCGGAAGCCGGAUGCAGCAACGCCGCGUGCGGGAUGACGGCCUUCGGGUUGUAAACCGCUUUCAGCAGGGGCGAAGCUUGUGGUGACGGUACCUGCAGAAGAAGCACCGGCUAACUACGUG